GGCUCUGUGCUGCUGGCUGUCCCUGGAAGCCCGUCGACUGCUCCCACGAGGUCGGCCGUGUCGGUCAACACCCGCAAAGCGGUUUGUUUUUUCACGCUGGGGAGGGAAGCCCAGCUUAGAGUUGAAAUGCGAACGCAGGCCGGCUCGGCUUCAGCAGAUUAACACCUGCUGGGUUGGAUAGAAGUCACUUUCAUCCAGUGAUUUGACAAGUUGUCAGCUCCUGUAACUUCUACCCCCUCUUAGCUUUGCUUAAAUCUGCUUUGCUGCAGAAUCGCAGCUGCGCGGAGCUUCAGGUCAGCUGGCGUUCAGCUGCUGGGAGUUUACAACCAGAGUUUUCUCACCUGAACAAUGAGGAGUUCUAUUGUAGUAUUUAGAAACAAAACAUGAUCUAGUCCAGGGGUGUCGAAACUUUUUCAAAGAGGGCCAGAUUUGGUGAAAUAAAAAUGAUUGAGGACCAACAUUUUUUGACAGUUUUUGAGCUAUUUUACUAAUUAUAAAUGCAAAUUAACUAUUUAAUGAACAUUUUAUCGCAAAGGCAAACUUUUCAUGUCUUAUCAUAAAGAAAAAAAAAAGUUUUUACAAAAAUACUGUAUAUUUUUCACACUGUUCAUUCCAAGUUAGCAAGUACUGUCUGCCUCUUGAUAUUGAACUUCUUGAAAAGUCUCCAGGCAUAUAUGACAGUUUUUUGAUAUUUCACUGAAAGAUGUGACAACUUUUCUUUUUUAAUUUACAUUUGGCUUUUUGGAAAUGAGCUGGAAAGCAUCACAGAAUAUUCGCAAGACAGUGCGAAAAGGAAUUUCUCCAGCAGCAAUCAUGAAUCUGCAGAUAAAUUUUUUAGAAAUGCUGGAGAACAUAUAUUAUUAAGUUUAUGAACGGAGCCCCGGAACUGACAUGCAUGAUCUAGUUAAUAUGUGGACAAAAUGUUACAAACUCUCGAAUUCGACUCUAAAUUAACACAUUUUUUUUGUCAAAUUAGGAAAAUCUUAAUAUCUUACUGACUAUUGACAACACUUUAUUUUAAAUUAUUAAAAAUAAUUUUUAGUUUUUUCAAAUUUUUUCAUACUGACAUUACUUGUGGAUCUGGGAUUUGUAAGAAUUAUAAAUGUGCUCUAUUUACUAUUUUAUCUCUGCUUUUAAUAAAUGUUUAACAAAUUUAAUGUUUUUUUUAUUUUAAUGUGCAACAUUUUUUUUGUCGUUUUAUUUUGAAAAACCGGAAAUGCGCGUGGUUUCCGCUAGUGCCAUCCCGUUAAUAUCAUUCUCCUCUCGGUGCGCAUUAAGCUGCUGAGGAUUCUGAAGGAAGAACUCCACCUGAUGUCCCGAGUUUCCCUAUGUACGGAUCCACGUCGGUUACUCCUGACCAGGUCCAAAGAGGUUGAGCAAGCAAAUAAGGAGAAACAGUAGGUGAAUUGCAUCAUGGGAUGGCACAUCAUGUGGAGAUACCCAGAGUGCUCCAGCAGAUGAAGGUCAGUGUGGAUAAAGUGUCUCCCCUGCCCUUCACUGUUUGCACACACCUGAGGGGCGCUGGCGUCAAGCUUCAACACACAGCGGCGGAUUUAGGACUCUAAAGUGCGCACACGUGUCACUGUGGGGGGGUGGCGGGGAAAUUGCUUAGACCCUGGCAGAUGAAUCCAGCCGGAAAACACCGGAAGAGGCGUCACAAACAUGAACAGUGGUCCGGAGUGUGGAGGUUUUGUCCAAGUUUUUGUUGUUUCCUGGAAGUCAUGCCUCCUUUGACCAGAAGAGUAUCUGAAUGAAACUUCAGAUCAUCUUCUGAACAUCAGCAACAGGUAAGGGGUGGUUCAGGUGACAAAAACCAUCCUGAAGUGUUACGAUAAAGUAUUUUACCAUAACUAUUUUAGCUUGUAUAAAGUGCAACAGCUGCCUGAAAUAUUCAGAAUAAAAGUCUGAGACUGGACGUGACUGAGGGAAAGAUGAGGGUGGGAUUCGAUCGAAAGAGUCUGCAGCCUCGUCUCCUGAUGUUCUUCAGGUCUGCCGUGGCUGCAGAAUGGUUCCGUUUAAUUUCACGCUACGAUGGUGUGAGUUUGCUGCACUCAGAGUUUGGCUGAAGGCGAACAGAUGAUGAAGAAAACUGCUGCUCCGCCUCCAAACGGUGCCUCUGCUCUUCUGUUAAGCUUGUGCUGCUGGAGCGUCAGUCUCCUCUCAGGUCUCAGCGACUCGUCUUCAGAAAGCACAGACAGCAGCCUGACAGGCAUCUGCUGAGCUGAAUGGAGGAAUCCGCAGCAGCAGAGUGUCCUCCGGUUAUUCCUGUCUUCUUAUAAAAGCAACAAUUCAACGUUUUGUGGAGCUUAACAACGUUUAGAGUCAGUCACUUCUGUCAAAUGAGCUGAGCGUGGUUCAGGUGGAAGUCAGGAAAAGCAGAAAUGUGGUUUCUGCAGAUGUGAGGGAACACAAACAGGAAGUCUAACAGGCAGUGAGAGCUGAGGGUGCCGAUACCCCUCCAGCGCGCGCCCAGAGUCACUGCUCUGCUCCAACAUGGUUGCUGUGGGGGCAUGUUGGCACCGUUGAACUUGUUGAUAAAUUGAACCUGUAAUUUUUUUUCAUUUUUUGUUUCUACUCUAUCAUAAUGUUUUCUAUAUUUCUUGUCUGAAUUGUUACAGUUCCAUUCGAGCAGUCGGGGGUCCAUAAGUUGUGAUGUUUUUUUUUUUUUUUUACCUGAAGCUGCUUUGUUCUCAGACUCCAUUCUCACAAGAACUUUCAGGCUGUUUUUUACUCGGCUUUGGCUCAAAUGUUGGGAAUUAUAAACAUUUGGUGAAAAUGUAAGUCAACAAAAUGGCAGAUGUGGGUCAGCUUUGGGACUGGAAACACCUUCAGUCUGAUGCUUCUUAUGACCAGAGAUGGGAUAAAGCCCUUUAAAAUAACAGUUUUUAUCAGUAACAGAGGAAUUUUUCUCACACUAAACAAUAUUCUUUAAAAAAAAAACAUUAAAAGUUGACAUCUACACACGCUGGAACUGUGCAAUGUUUUAAAAACUCGCUGUAUUGUUUUCAUGUGAUGUUUUUUUAAGUAUAUAUAUUUGUUCUUGUUUUAGCAAUUUUAACAUGUAUCAAUUUUAUAUUCUUUUUUUAAUGACUAAAUGAUGCACUGACCAAAGAGCACUUUAUAAAUUCUGUAUUACCAGUGACAAUAAAAAGUGUCUAUCCAUUUA